rnacentral:rRNA from 1 species
ACUCCUACGGGAGGCAGCAGUGGGGAAUCUUAGACAAUGGGCGCAAGCCUGAUCUAGCCAUGCCGCGUGAGUGAUGAAGGCCCUAGGGUCGUAAAGCUCUUCGCCUGUGAAGAUAAUGACUGUAGCAAGGUCAAAGAAACCCCGGCUAACUCCGUGCCAGCAGCCGCGGUAAUACGGAGGGGGUUAGCGUUGUUCGGAAUUACUGGGCGUAAAGCGCGCGUAGGCGGAUUAGUCAGUCAGAGGUGAAAUCCCAGGGCUCAACCCUGGAACUGCCUUUGAUACUGCUAGUCUUGAGUUCGAGAGAGGUGAGUGGAAUUCCGAGUGUAGAGGUGAAAUUCGUAGAUAUUCGGAGGAACACCAGUGGCGAAGGCGGCUCACUGGCUCGAUACUGACGCUGAGGUGCGAAAAGUGUGGGGAGCAAAACAGGAUUAGAUACCCUGGUAGCUACGAGU